CAUCUGGAGAUCCCUGCUAGCCUGAGGAUCUUAUAGGCCUUCUGAAGCCCAUCUUACUGGCAGAGCAGCUCCAUUUCCAUCUCCAGCUGUAGAGAAGACAGUAGUGACAAGAGUCUGCCCUCAUGCCCAAAGCACGUGUGCUAAUUUUGGAUGCAGAAUGGAAAAAAGAAGAGGGAACUUUAUCCUGAUCUCUUCCUCCAAUUAACUGGGGGCACUCACCUUAUAAGGCUUUUUAAUGGUUAAGAACAUAAAAAAGGGGAAAAUAAAGGGAUCUUGAGAUGGCGAAGGGUACUCUGCGAAUGAAGACUGGCAUCACAUCAAUAAUGCAUUAUUCUAUGAGCUUGAGGGUGAAAAAACUUCUACCACAAAUCCCUUGUCUCAUACUUUUAUUCCACAUACAGAACUAAGUGUAAAACUAAGUUCUAGAUCUUAGUUUUUGAGGCUCAGGUUAGACCUUUAAGGCUAAAAUUACAGUCUUGCAUCUUAUGUGCUGACAGUUCAGUUUGAGAGUUAAUUCUUAAUUUCUAGCAUUUUUCUACUCUCAUUUGAUUUUUAGUUACCAGACACUUGGGCUUCUUUCUUUAGCCUUUAAAGACAUCAGUUGUCAGACUUUGUUCCUCAUUUACAUCCUCGCAGACUGCAAUCAUAGUUUAAAUCUUAACCUCCUCUUGUUUAAAUCCCCAAGCUCACCUGCAUGAGUGAUUAAUAAAAAAAAUAUCCUCCAAUUUUUCAUUAUUCUUAAGGCUUUUCUCAUCUCUAAUUUAUUAAUAGCCUUUCUUGAAUGUGGAUAUUAAAAUGAAACUGUAUUCCAAUACUAUUCACCCUAAAGCAAAACUAACAGAAAUUCUUUAUUCCGUGUUGAUAUUCACUUUCUUUAAGCACUUCGGGAGCAGAUUAGCUCUUUGGCAGUGUCACUGCAUUUAGGAUUCAUGAUCAGCUGAUAACUGGCGUUGACUCCAAAGUCCUAGUCGCAAUUUGUUCUCCAUGGCAGGAAACCUAAACCCUGCACGUCAAUACAGUGUUCCGAGAAUAAUAGCUUUAAAAGUGACAUAAAAAUAUGUUCACUUGGCAUGCAGGUUGUUCAGGUGCUCUGCAGCUCCAAUAUUAAUUAGAUGUGAAGAUUUCAGCACUAGAUAAUAUGAACUGAGAUGAUGGAGACCUUAAACUGUAAAAGCUGAAAUUUCCAAUGCACUAAGUCAGGAUGAUGAUACAUUGCCUCUGUGCCAGGAACUACCUAUCUGGUAUGCAUAGUUACUACUAAUGACUCAGUGUCCCUUCCAUCUCAAGCCGAUGCAGCAGCCAUACUGGUUUCCAUGCAGCACCAUAGGGGAAAUUUUACACUGAACUUCACAUCAGUGAACACCUCAGAGCCACCCUCUGCUUCAUAAAUGAAUAAAUCAAAUAUUGCUAAGAAAUAAAAUAAUAGCAUUGUAGGUAAUUCUAUGCAAAUGGACUUGGCUUCAAUAGGCAGACCUCUAAGCUGCAUCCCUUCCUAGGAUUUUCUGGUUGGUCUUGUGAAGCUGAAACAGAUACUUCAUGUGAAUGUGGUUUUUUUUCACUGGUUGGUGGGGUGUUUUUUGUUUUUGGUGAGGUGGAGCUUCACUACUGAAAAACAAAGCAAGGAUGAUAAGCAGCUACAUCCCAAACUUGUGUAUGGGAGGCUUUAGUAAUAUGUUUUACCGGUUUUUCUGAAUUCUCAUGCCUGUGAUUAGACUAGCUUGUCUCCUGUAACCCAUGUCUUUUUAAAGAUGGUGGCUAAAGACGCUUUCCUGAUAGGCCAUAUGCUUUCUGCCAUGAUCAGCUGCGAGAAUAAACCACGGAAAAUUACGUGUUCAAGAACAGGUGUGAUUGAAUGUAUUCAGACUCUUCUGUG
ensembl:lncRNA